GAACUAGUACCGUGAGGGAAAGGUGAAAAGAACCCUAAGUAAGGGAGUGAAAGAGAACCUGAAACCGUACGCCUACAAGCGGUCGGAGCACAUUUACUGUGUGACGGCGUGCCUUUUGCAUAAUGAGCCUACGAGUUACUGUUUCUAGCAAGGUUAAAUGUUUAAGACAUGGAUCCGUAGCGAAAGCGAGUCUGAAUAGGGCGCAUAGUUAGUAGUAGUAGACGCGAAACCGAGUGAUCUACCCAUGGGCAGGUUGAAGCUGUGGUAACACACAGUGGAGGACCGAACCAGUUGACGUUGAAAAGUCUUCGGAUGACCUGUGGGUAGGGGUGAAAGGCCAAUCAAACUCGGAAAUAGCUCGUACUCCCCGAAAUGCAUUUAGGUGCAGCGUUGAGCGAAAGUUUUAUAGAGGUAGAGCUACUGAUUGGAUGCGGGGGCUUCACCGCCUACCAAUUCCUGACAAACUCCGAAUGCUAUAAAAUGUUAAUCAGCAGUGAGGGCAUGGGUGCUAAGGUCCAUGUCCGAGAGGGAAAGAACCCAGACCAUCAGCUAAGGUCCCCAAAUGUAUGUUAAGUUGAAUAAACGAGGUUGAACUGCUUAGACAGCUAGGAUGUUGGCUUGGAAGCAGCCAUUCAUUUAAAGAGUGCGUAACAGCUCACUAGUCGAGCGGUUCGGCAUGGAUAAUAAUCGGGCAUAAACAUACUACCGAAGCUAUGGACUUGUAAAAGUGGUAGGGGAGCAUUGUAGUGUCGUCGAAGGUGAAGCGUGAGCUUUGCUGGAGAAGCUACAAAAGAAAAUGUAGGCAUAAGUAACGAUAAUGCGGGCGAGAAACCCGCACUCCGAAAGACUAAGGUUUCCUCAGCUAUGCUAAUCAGCUGAGGGUUAGUCGGGACCUAACGCGAACCCGAAAGGGGUAGUGGAUGGACAACAGGUUAAUAUUCCUGUACCUGCUCACACUAAAAGUGACGGAGGCGAAUAGUUAGUGCGCACAGACGGAAUUGUGCGUUGAAGGGAACAGUAAUGUCCUGAUAGUACACUAAGACUACGGUCGCGGUGAUAAUCUAGCGAAUCGACUUCCAAGAAAAGCGAGUGAAGCAGCCCGUACCCUAAACCGACACAGGUAGUUGGGAUGAGAAUUCUAAGGUGCUCGAGAGAUUCAUGGCUAAGGAACUAGGCAAAAUAGACGCGUAACUUCGGGAGAAGCGUCGCCCAUCGUAAGAUGGGCCGCAGUGAAAAGAUCCAAGCGACUGUUUAUCAAAAACACAGGGCUCUGCUAAAUCGAAAGAUGACGUAUAGGGCCUGACACCUGCCCGGUGCUGGAAGGUUAAGUGGAGGGCUUAGAGGUUUACCUCGAAGGUCUGAAAUGAAGCCCCAGUAAACGGCGGCCGUAACAAUAACGGUCCUAAGGUAGCGAAAUUCCUUGUCGGGUAAGUUCCGACCUGCACGAAUGGCGUAACGACUUCCCCGCUGUCUCCAACAUCGACUCAGCGAAAUUGAAUUGCCUGUCAAGAUGCAGGCUUCCCGCGGUUAGACGGAAAGACCCCGUGCACCUUUACUACAACUUUACACUGAUAACAGGCACAACAUGUGCAGAAUAGGUGGUAGGCUUUGAAGCAGAAACGCCAGUUUUUGUGGAGCCUCCUUUGAGAUACCACCCUUGUUUUGCUUGUUAUCUAACUGCGGUCCGUUAUCCGGAUCCAGGACCCUGUAUGGUGGGUAGUUUGACUGGGGCGGUCGCCUCC
rnacentral:rRNA from 1 species